rnacentral:misc_RNA from 1 species
UCUCUCUCUCUCUUUCUCUCUUGCCUCCAAGUCACUCUGUCACAUUUUAUUUUUCUUCUUUAUUUUCAUGAAUAUUUACACUUUUUUCUGUGCGUACACUCUUUUUUAUGCAGCACAGAAAGUGAAGAGAAGAAAGAUUUCUCUGUUUUUUGAAGCUUCUUUUUAUUGAGAUUUCUCUGUUUUUUGAAGCUUCUUUUUAUUGAGCUAUUUAGAGCGGAAGAGGGAGUUGUGUAGCGAGAGAGGGAGAGAGAGAGAG